AUGUAAACAUAAGUAAGAAAAACUCUUUACUCACCUACAGUAUUUAACAAGAAACAGCUUCCUUUCUAAAACAAAUCUAUGAUCAUCUCGCAAUAAAAAAAGAAAUUGAGACUGUGUAUUUAGAGUGUUCUAGUGGAUUUUAAAAUUAUAUAAAAUAAAUAUUAACAUAUUUUUUAAAUAAUAGAAACUGAUACAGUAUUUAACUCCAUUAAGUCAUUAUAUAAACAAGAAUUUAAUACUCAUUAAUAAUUCACCCCAAUUUAACAAUCACAAACUGAUUGUAUGAAUAAUUCAUUUCUGUUGGCAGAGAAAUUAAUUAUAACUGACAAUUUGACCUAAUGUGACAUGUAUCAAUGCUAGACCAGACAAUAAGCUACUAAACAAGUUUAGCACAGAUAAAAGUUGCACCCUGACCCCUAUUAUCUGUAGCUUUGUCAGUUUGUGGCAAACCACGGAUCUUCACACAUCACCACUGCCAUGGCUGACCUAUCUAGUGAGAAGACACUCCAAGCUCCUCCUGAUCCUCAAGCUGAGACCUUUCUUUCCAAGAUCAAAAGGCUGCUCUUUGGAGAAACUGAAGCAAGCAAGAAGAGCCCCAAAGUCUACCAGUAUGGUUGCUGUAUUAUUAUAUUGUCUAU